CUUGUACAGCAGGCUGAGCAGGGGCACAAAUCCAGUCACAACUCUCCCCCUCUAUAGUAAAAGCUACAUUGGAUGCCUUGGGAGUGCAGUACUUGCUGUGUGCUUUCAAAAUGGGUCCAGAAGGAAUGUCAUUGGAAAUGAGGCCAUAAUGAAUAAACCUUGCCAAAAGCAACAAUGCGGGACUGAAAGAAGAAUGACAAGAACGAGCGGAGCCUGAAAGGAUCUGCAGGAAGAACUGAGCUGUCAUAACUGAUGAUAUAGUUCACAGUUUCCUAUUCUCUGGCUUGGCAGCAUGAUGAGGCUUAAAUCAGAGCUCAACAUCAUUUCGCUAAUGGAGCUGUAAUAUCCCUCAGCUCAAAGAUCUAGCUGUGUUCCAACAUUAACAAUAAGAACAUAAGGGCUGCCUUGCUGGAUCAGGCCAAGGUCCAUUUAGCAUUUAGUCCAGAAUUCUUUUCCCCCACAGCAACUGGCCGGAAGCCUAAAGAAAUGUAAAUGCAGAGCAUGCAAAUAACUAUCCCUGGUACAUAUUUUUCCCUGGAAU